GGGCUUUGUCCUAGUUGCCUGGAAGUCAGUAUUCUGCUAGCAGCCUUCAGAUAAAGAUGUAGAACUCUCAGCUCCUCCUGCACCAUGCUUGCCUGGAUGCUGCCAUGUUCCCACCUUGACCAUAAUAGACUGAACCUCUGAACCUGGUCUUGUAUCCUGGCUCCAUGAUUAAGAGCAGUGAUGUUCUUGCAGAAGGUCCAAGUUCAGUUCUGUGACAGCUUCCAGGUGAUGAAGAGCAUAUCCAUUCCAGAGGUCCAAUUUCAGCUCCAGGGAAUCCAACAUAAUUUUAUGGCUGCUGUGGACACCUGCACAUGCAGGCAUCAUCAGAGAAACUUCCUCCAGCAGAAGAUAAAAACAGAUGCAGAGACUCAAACAUUAUGUGGAAAGGGAGUCUAAAUGGAAUGUUUCCAUCACAUCUAUCCCCUAAGAAUGCAGGAAACCCAUGGAAGAAGA
rnacentral:lncRNA from 1 species